rnacentral:rRNA from 1 species
AAGACCUUGUGCUUUUGGAGCGGCCGAUGCCUGAUUAGCUAGUUGGUAAGGUAAAGGCUUACCAAGGCUUCGAUCAGUAGUUGGUCUGAGAGGACGACCAGCCACACUGGGACUGAGACACGGCCCAGACUCCUACGGGAGGCAGCAGUGGGGAAUUUUGGACAAUGGGGGAAACCCUGAUCCAGCCAUGCCGCGUGAGUGAAGAAGGCCUUCGGGUUGUAAAGCUCUUUCAGUUGAGAAGAAAAGAUUACGACUAAUAAUCGUGAUUCAUGACGGUAUCAACAGAAGAAGCACCGGCUAACUACGUGCCAGCAGCCGCGGUAAUACGUAGGGUGCAAGCGUUAAUCGGAAUUACUGGGCGUAAAGGGUGCGCAGGCGGUCUUGUAAGUCAGAUGUGAAAUCCCCGGGCUUAACCUGGGAACU